rnacentral:rRNA from 1 species
CAGUCGCCACGGUAAUACGGAGGGUGCAAGCGUUACUCGGAAUCACUGGGCGUAAAGGACGCGUAGGCGGAUUAUCAAGUCUCUUGUGAAAUCUAACGGCUUAACCGUUAAACUGCUUGGGAAACUGAUAAUCUAGAGUAAGGGAGAGGCAGAUGGAAUUCUUGGUGUAGGGGUAAAAUCCGUAGAGAUCAAGAAGAAUACCCAUUGCGAAAGCGAUCUGCUGGAACUUAACUGACGCUAAUGCGUGAAAGCGAGGGGAGCAAACAGGAUUAGAUACCCCCGUAGUCCCUGUCUCUUAUAC